rnacentral:rRNA from 1 species
AGGUAAGCUACUAAGAGCGAAUGGUGGAUGCCUUGACUGGUAAAGGCGAUGAAGGACGUACUAGACUGCGAUAAGCUACGGGGAGCUGUCAAGAAGCUUUGAUCCGUAGAUUUCCGAAUGGGGCAACCCAAUGUAUAGAGAUAUACAUUACCUAUAUAGGAGCGAACGAGGGGAAUUGAAACAUCUUAGUACUCUCAGGAAAAGAAAUCAAUAGAGAUUGCGUCAGUAGCGGCGAGCGAAAGCGCAAGAGGGCAAACCCAGUGCUUGCACUGGGGGUUGUAGGACUGCAAUGUGCAAGAGGUAAGUUUAGCAGAACAUUCUGGAAAGUAUAACCAUAGAGGGUGAUAGUCCCGUAUGCGAAAAACAAACCUUAGCUAGCAGUAUCCUGAGUAGGGCGGGACACGAGGAAUCCUGUCUGAAUCCGGGUCGACCACGAUCCAACCCUAAAUACUAAUACCAGAUCGAUAGUGCACAAGUACCGUGAGGGAAAGGUGAAAAGAACUGAGGUGAUCAGAGUGAAAUAGAACCUGAAACCAUUUGCUUACAAUCAUUCAGAGCCCUAUGUAGCAAUACAGGGUGAUGGACUGCCUUUUGCAUAAUGAGCCUGCGAGUUGUGGUGUCUGGCAAGGUUAAGCAAACGCGAAGCCGUAGCGAAAGCGAGUCUGAAUAGGGCGCUUAGUCAGAUGCUGCAGACCCGAAACGAAGUGAUCUAUCCAUGAGCAAGUUGAAGCUAGUGUAAGAACUAGUGGAGGACUGAACCCAUAGGCGUUGAAAAGCCCCGGGAUGACUUGUGGAUAGGGGUGAAAGGCCAAUCAAACUUCGUGAUAGCUGGUUCUCUCCGAAAUAUAUUUAGGUAUAGCGUUGUGUCGUAAUAUAAGGGGGUAGAGCACUGAAUGGGCUAGGGCAUACACCAAUGUACCAAACCCUAUCAAACUCCGAAUACCUUAUAUGUAAUCACAGCAGUCAGGCGGCGAGUGAUAAAAUCCGUCGUCAAGAGGGAAACAACCCAGACUACCAGCUAAGGUCCCUAAAUCUUACUUAAGUGGAAAACGAUGUGAAGUUACUUAAACAACCAGGAGGUUGGCUUAGAAGCAGCCAUCCUUUAAAGAAAGCGUAAUAGCUCACUGGUCUAGUGAUUUUGCGCGGAAAAUAUAACGGGGCUAAAGUAAGUACCGAAGCUGUAGACUUAGUUUACUAAGUGGUAGGAGAGCGUUCUAUUUGCGUCGAAGGUAUACCGGUAAGGAGUGCUGGAGCGAAUAGAAGUGAGCAUGCAGGCAUGAGUAGCGAUAAUUAAUGUGAGAAUCAUUAACGCCGUAAACCCAAGGUUUCCUACGCGAUGCUCGUCAUCGUAGGGUUAGUCGGGUCCUAAGUCGAGUCCGAAAGGGGUAGACGAUGGCAAAUUGGUUAAUAUUCCAAUACCAACAUUAGUGUGCGAUGGAAGGACGCUUAGGGCUAAGGGGGCUAGCGGAUGGAAGUGCUAGUCUAAGGUCGUAGGAGGUUAUACAGGCAAAUCCGUAUAACAAUACUCCGAGAACUGAAAGGCUUUUUGAAGUCUUCGGAUGGAUAGAAGAACCCCUGAUGCCGUCGAGCCAAGAAAAGUUUCUAAGUUUAGCUAAUGUUGCCCGUACCGUAAACCGACACAGGUGGGUGGGAUGAGUAUUCUAAGGCGCGUGGAAGAACUCUCUUUAAGGAACUCUGCAAAAUAGCACCGUAUCUUCGGUAUAAGGUGUGGUUAGCUUUGUAUUAGGAUUUACUCCGAAAGCAAGGAAACUUACAACAAAGAGUCCCUCCCGACUGUUUACCAAAAACACAGCACUCUGCUAACUCGUAAGAGGAUGUAUAGGGUGUGACGCCUGCCCGGUGCUCGAAGGUUAAUUGAUGGGGUUAGCAUUAGCGAAGCUCUUGAUCGAAGCCCGAGUAAACGGCGGCCGUAACUAUAACGGUCCUAAGG